rnacentral:rRNA from 1 species
CUUGGCGACAACACUUCCUGUCAGUUUUGGGAAGAUCACUGGCUCCACGGCAACUCCAUCUCUGAGGUUGCCCCCUUGCUUCACGCUAUGGUCCUGAGCAGGCGCCGACGACCGAGGACUGUCCGCGAUGGCCUCCUACACCGCGCCUGGAUCCGCGACAUCCACAACACUCUGGGCCCCGAGGCCUUGGUCUGGUACGUCCUGCUCUGGACCCAACUUCAUGAUUUCUCUCUCUCGGACGGCCCGGAUCGAAUCACUUGGCGAUGGACCACAUCAGGCACGUAUUCUUCCAAGUCUUGUUACCAGGCACUCUUCUCCGGAUCGACCAUCGAGCUGGCCUGGAGACUUACUCGGAAAUCCUGGGCGCCUCUUCGGGUCAAGAUCUUCCUUUGGCUUGCUUACCAGGGCUUAUGCUGGACGACCGAUAGGUUGGCGCGCCAUGGCCUACCAUACGCACCACUCUGCUUGCUGCGCGACCAGGAGCCGGAGACUAUGCAACAUCUUCUAGUCGACUGCUCAUUCUCGCAUCAGGUAUGA